GACGAACGCUGGCGGCGUGCUUAACACAUGCAAGUCGAACGGUGAAGCCCAGCUUGCUGGGUGGAUGAGUGGCGAACGGGUGAGUAACACGUGAGUAACCUGCCCCUUCUUCUGGAUAACUGCCUGAAAGGGUAGCUAAUACGGGAUAUUCUGGCCUGCUCGCAUGGGUGGGUUUGGAAAGGUUUUUCUGGUGGGGAUGGGCUCGCGGCCUAUCAGCUUGUUGGUGGGGUGAUGGCCUACCAAGGCUUUGACGGGUAGCCGGCCUGAGAGGGUGGACGGCCACACUGGGACUGAGACACGGCCCAG
rnacentral:rRNA from 1 species